UACGGAGGAUGCAAGCGUUAUCCGGAUUUAUUGGGCGUAAAGCGUCCGCAGGUGGUUUUUCAAGUCUGCUGUUAAAGCGCGAGGCUUAACUUCGUACAGGCAGUGGAAACUGGAAGACUUGAGUAUGGUAGGGGUAGCGGGAAUUUCCAGUGGAGCGGUGAAAUGCGUAGAUAUUGGAAAGACCACCAAUGGCGAAGGCACUCUACUGGGCCAUUACUGACACUGAGAGACGAAAGCUAGGGGAGCGAAUGGG
rnacentral:rRNA from 1 species